AUCGCUUCUCGGCCUUUUGGCUAAGAUCAAGUGUAGUAUCUGUUCUUAUCAGUUUAAUAUCUGAUACGUCCCCUACCCGGGGACCGUAUAUUAAGUUGAUUUUUGGAACUGGGAGAUGGAAAAAGGGGCUUGCCCCCGUCCACUCCACGCAUCGACCUGGUAUUGCAGUACCUCCAGGACCGGUGCACCCCUC
rnacentral:snRNA from 10 species